UACGAGGGGGGCGAGCGUUGUUCGGAAUUAUUGGGCGUAAAGGGUGCGUAGGCGGUUCCGCAAGUCCUGUGUGAAAUCUUCGGGCUCAACUCGAAGUCUGCACGGGAAACUGCGGGGCUUGAGUGUGGGAGAGGUGAGUGGAAUUCCAGGUGUAGCGGUGAAAUGCGCAGAUAUCAGGAGGAACACCGGUGGCGAAGGCGGGUCUCUGGGCCGAUACUGACGCUGAGGAGCGAAAGCGUGGGGAGCGAACAGG
rnacentral:rRNA from 1 species